UGAGCAAUCUGCCCUUCUCUUUGGAAUAAGCGUUGGAAACGACGUCUAAUGCCGAAUACGACCUCCUUUCGCAUGAUCGGAGGUGGAAAGCUCCGGCGGAGAAGGAUGAGCUCGCGGCCUAUCAGCUAGUUGGUGUGGGUAAUGGCCCACCAAGGCGACGACGGGUANCUGGUCUGAGAGGAUGGCCAGCCCACACGUGGGACUGAGACACCGGCCCAGACCUUCGUAACGGGGAGG
rnacentral:rRNA from 1 species